rnacentral:rRNA from 1 species
CUACGGGUUGCUCCAGUAGGGAAUUUUCGGCAAUGGGCGAAAGCCUGACCGAGCAAUGCCGCGUGAACGAUGAAGGCCUUCGGGUUGUAAAGUUCUGUUAUCAGGGAAGAACAUACGGAUUAGGAAAUGACUCCGUACUGACGGUACCUGAUCAGAAAGCUCCGGCUAACUACGUGCCAGGCAGCCGCGGUAAUACGUAGGGAGCAAGCGUUAUCCGGAAUUAUUGGGCGUAAAGCGUGCGUAGGCGGUUCGUUAAGUCAAAUCUGAAAGCCCACAGCUUAACUGUGGAGGGCGAUUUGAAACUGGCGAACUUGAGUACGGCAGAGGUUAGUGGAAUUCAAUGUGUAGCGGUGGAAUGCGUAGAUAUAUUGAGGAACACCAGUGGCGAAGGCGGCUAACUGGACCGGAACUGACGCUGAGGCACGAAAGCGUGGGGAGCAAACAGGAUUAGAUACCCCAGUAGUC